rnacentral:rRNA from 1 species
AGAGUUUGAUCCUGGCUCAGAUUGAACGCUGGCGGCAUGCCUAACACAUGCAAGUCGCACGCGAAAGGGGGCAACCCCGAGUAGAGUGGCGGACGGGUGCGUAAUACGCAGGAAUCUACCCACGAGUGGGGGACAACCCGGGGAAACCCGGGCUAAUACCGCAUGAGACCUACGGGUGAAAGCGGGGGAUCGCAAGACCUCGCGCUGGUGGAUGAGCCUGCGUCCGAUUAGCUAGUUGGUAGGGUAAAAGCCUACCAAGGCAACGAUCGGUAGCUGGUCUGAGAGGACGACCAGCCACACUGGGACUGAGACACGGCCCAGACUCCUACGGGAGGCAGCAGCGGGGAAUAUUGGACAAUGGGGGCAACCCUGAUCCAGCAAUGCCGCGUGUGUGAAGAAGGCCUUCGGGUUGUAAAGCACUUUCGAUGGGGACAAACGUGUCGGGCUUAAUACGUCCGGCCUUGAUGGUACCUAGAGAAGAAGCACCGGCUAACUCUGUGCCAGCAGCCGCGGUAAUACAGAGGGUGCAAGCGUUAAUCGGAAUUACUGGGCGUAAAGCGUGCGUAGGUGGUUGGAUAAGUCAGGUGUGAAAUCCCCGAGCUUAACUUGGGAAUUGCGCUUGAUACUGUCCGGCUAGAGUGUGGUAGAGGGUAGUGGAAUUCCGCAUGUAGCGGUGAAAUGCGUAGAUAUGCGGAGGAACAUCAGUGGCGAAGGCGGCUACCUGGACCAACACUGACACUGAGGCACGAAAGCGUGGGUAGCAAACAGGAUUAGAUACCCUGGUAGUCC